rnacentral:rRNA from 1 species
AACGAACGCUGGCGGCAUGCCUAACACAUGCAAGUCGAACGAGACCUUCGGGUCUAGUGGCGCACGGGUGCGUAACGCGUGGGAAUCUGCCCUUGGGUUCGGAAUAACAGCGAGAAAUUGCUGCUAAUACCGGAUGAUGACGUAAGUCCAAAGAUUUAUCGCCCAAGGAUGAGCCCGCGUAGGAUUAGCUAGUUGGUGAGGUAAAGGCUCACCAAGGCGACGAUCCUUAGCUGGUCUGAGAGGAUGAUCAGCCACACUGGGACUGAGACACGGCCCAGACUCCUACGGGAGGCAGCAGUGGGGAAUAUUGGACAAUGGGCGAAAGCCUGAUCCAGCAAUGCCGCGUGAGUGAUGAGGCCUUAGGGUUGUAAAGCUCUUUUACCCGGGAUGAUAAUGACAGUACC